rnacentral:tRNA from 1 species
AGGCCCGUAGUGUAGUGGCCAAUCAUUUCGGUCCUUGGAACCGGAGACAGCAGUUCGACUCUGCUCGGGCCUACCA